GGAAAUCCUGAAGAGGCACGGAAUGAUUUCCUGAAGAGACAAAAGACGGGAAGAUUCGCAACUGCAGAAGAAAUAGCCAUGCUCUGCGUGUAUUUGGCUUCUGAUGAAUCUGCUUAUGUAACUGGUAACCCUGUCAUCAUUGAUGGAGGCUGGAGCUUGUGAUUUUAGGAUCUCCAUGGUGGGAAGGAAGGCAGGCCCUUCCUAUCCACAGUGAACCUGGUUACGAAGAAAACUCACCAAUCAUCUCCUUCCUGUUAAUCACAUGUUAAUGAAAAUAAGCUCUUUUUAAUGAUGUCACUGUUUGCAAGAGUCUGAUUCUUUAAGUAUAUUAAUCUCUUUGUAAUCUCUUCUGAAAUCAUUGUAAAGAAAUAAAAAUAUUGAACUCAU
rnacentral:lncRNA from 1 species